UACAUGUAAACAAAUUAAUAUGUAUGUUUUGGUGGCACAAUAAUUCUGGUACUGGACAAACAAUACACAUUCAUACCUUAGAGAAUCCAC